GCCGGGCACAGUGGCACGUGCCUGUAGUCCUAGCUACUCGGGAGGCUGAGAUGGGAGGAUCGCAUGAGCCCAGGAGUUCUGGGCUGUAGUGCGCUAUGCUGAUUGGGUGUCCACACUAAGUUCAGCAUCGGUAUGGUGAAAUCCUGAGAGCAGGGGACCACCAGGUUGCCUAAGGAGGGGUGAACCAGCCCAGGUCGGAAAUGGAGCUGGUCAAACUCUGGUGCUGAUCAGUAGUGGGAUCGUGCCUGUAAAUAGCCACUGCACUCCAGCCUGGGCAACAUAGCGAGACCCGUCUCU
rnacentral:SRP_RNA from 1 species